UCAUACUCUUUAACCUUAUUAAUACAUAACCCCAAGAGGAAAAACACGCUACUCAUAACAUAAAAAAUUAAGGAGUUACCCUAAAUCUCCAUUGAUUUUAUUUAUAGGAGACUAAGUGAAUUUUACUUCAAUCUUUGGACUGAAACAAAUCUUCAAUGGAAGUUUGCAAAUUCUCCACAUAAAAGCUACUCCAAUGUAUUCUUUACCAAAAAAUAAUACAAUAUUUUCUAAUCCAAGUAUGAAGGCUAAUAACUAGAAUAAAUCUCCAAUUUUUGGAAUAAUGGAAUUUUUAUUUGCAGAUUCACUCCAAGAGAUAGGGUUUGAGUCUCUUAAAAUAAAUUUUGUGAACAACUGUGUGCUUUUACAUUUUUUUCCCUUGGCUAUUUUUCUAAGCCAUAAUUAUGGGAAUUGUCCGUGUUUGCGGCUACUGCAACCAUGAGUAGGUCCAUGCGAUCGUGGUUGCUGACCUCUUUGACUGGCUGUGAUCAUGGCCUUUAUAUGGUGAUUUUGGUAAUUAAGGCUAUGUUCUUCUCUAGUUCUUCAAACUGCAAUUUUUUUCUUUUUUCAAUCUUUUUCAGCUUGUAUCCACAUAUUUUUAUCUCAUUACCUAAUUGACUUCCAAAAAUAUGGAUAUUAGUCCAUUCAAUCACAACUGUGUCUCACUUAUUUAUUAAAACAUGGUAAUGUGCAGGAAUAAUGAGUGCGAGUGAGUGGAAAAUUCACCAGUUAUCAGACAUCUCUUUUGGUAUUACUAACGCUCCACA
rnacentral:lncRNA from 1 species